CAUUCUUGUCGUCACUGGUGGCUCCUCGCUGUACCUCACUGCUCCCUGCGCAAGCCACCGCAGCGCUCCGCCAUAGCUUGCCCAUGCCCGUGCGAGCAACCGUAGCUCCCGCGCCUGUGCUCACACACGCCCUGCUGAUGCCCACCGCGGCUCGUCGCCCGUGCUUGUGCACUUCUGCAUGCGUCAGCGCAGUUCGUCCUCGCCUCACGGAUGCCUACGCGAGCUCACCAUGUGUUUCCCCCCACGCCUGCGAGCGAUAGCGCAGCUCUCGGCAGGUCCAGAGAAAGUGCCGUGAUGGCAGAAGCACCCGGAGGAGAUGUAUGCGUUUGAAGGUCGUGGAGAUGUUGAAUGCAAGCAACAUGUAUGUCAUGUUUAUUGUAAUAUUUUGCUUGAUUAUGGGUUAUAAUUUGGAAAUUACAUCAAGAAUAGAAUGUCACCUUUUGUUUCACAGCCUGGCUUCUAUCUUCAAUCUGUAAUACCUUUUUAGUUGGUGCAAAUUGAUCCGAAUUGUGAUGCAAAGUUCUUAGUAUAAGUUACCUAUAA